rnacentral:tRNA from 3 species
AAAAUUUUAGUUUAAAUUAAAAUAUUUCAUUUACAUUGAAAAGAUUUUAUAAAGUAAAAAAUUUUA